CCUCAUAUCUGCAGCUACUUGAUAUUCAGAAUUGCACUGCCAUACCUGCAAUGAAUUAAAAACACCUGUUACAUGCUUAGUGAAAGUACAAUAGGUAAUGAAAAGAAUGAUCAACUAUUUUUUGUUGCAGUUAGGAUUUAGUCAAGCUUGAUCUCCCUCUGCAUAAAGCUUAUUCUGAUGUGGAGUUUCAAGGUUCCAAUAAACACAUGAUACACUUUUAAAAGGCAUAGAGGUUUCUUCAAAAUUUAGGCAAUUACUCAAAUUUGAGGAGUUAUCAUAUAGUAUGUCAAAAUGAAACUGCUAAUUAUUAAGUUCCAUAUGUAUUUUGUCUCACUUAUCAUCGAUAGAAGGCAUUGAAAAGUAGUUCACAAAUAAGUGAUGGACAAGUCUAAUUUAUUUUCAAGAGGGCAUCAUGUUGACAAGAAAGUUGCUGCUCACCCUAUUUUGACAACUAGAAAAAUGCAACUCUAUUUGAGAAAGUAAAUGUAGGAUUUUUUAGGGUGCGUCUAUUCAGCAAACAUGUGUUAAUUUGAAAGGUAGAAGCAAUGUUUGGUCUGUGGUAGAUAGUUGAGUGUGUUUAACUUAUGAUUUUUUACAAACAGUAUGUAGAAUGCCUCCUGGCAUUGGUUCUCUGACCUUGGAUCAAUUUACUCCGCGCUUAUAUGAUAUAUUGCUUCUAGCCGAUGAAAUUUAGUCCACAUUUGUGUGCGUAUGCAUAUCCUAUACUGGAAAUUUGUGCUUGCCCAUUAUAUAUUAGAAGUAGACAAGAAAAUGUCCAUAGUAAUAAACUUGUGGUCACAGGACUGCUAGCUUAAAGUUUGUUAGAUUAUGUAAAUGGGUAAUUUUGUUGUCUGCUCUUUAGGUUUCCAUAGUAUGAGCUGGUGCUAUUUCUUUUAAACUGCCAUCUAAACUGAACAAUGGGGCUUCAUGUAUAAACUGGAGCAAUAAUAUCCUAUACUUCUCAUGUAAUGGAUCAAUUGUGUGUCUUGGUCUUUCCUGUUUUCUUUGGUUUUGCAGCCUAGAAUUUUUUACAUGCGCAUAUAUAGCUACUUAAUGAACUGAGUUCCUUUAUGAUGUGUGGCAGACCAUAUUUACUGAUAUGACUUACUUUCUCAUUCAAUAUAAUGGUAGGUGUAGCAAUGAAAGGCAUAUAUAUUUUACUACAAGCAUCCUAGCUUUCUCAUCUUAUUAGUGACUCACUUUCGAAACAUAUGUAUUGGUAGUUUUUAUCUCUAUGCUUUUGCCUUCUACAUAAUGGAUUGCAAUGUUUUUGUCUUUAUCCAAUCCUUCCUGCGCCCAUGGGGUCUCCUGCAGGGACUGCUUUGGCUGUUCCAGAGGCCGUACACACAUAUAAAUACACAACUACUCCCUCGAUCGAAGCCCCAGCCCAAUUGUGUCGUUUCGUCGUGCUUGACAUUGGUGUCUUGCCAUUCUACCGAAGCUGUGGAAAUCUCGCUGUUCUGCCAACCUGGUAGGAAUUUCUCCGUACUGUCGACUUCACCGGAAUUACAUUCGCUAGUGUAGCCAAGGCACAUUGUUCAAACUGCUCAAGCAAUACUGAUUUGGAGUUGUUUUGGUCAAGCGGUUGAACUGAACCAUGCUACUGUACAGUAGCCAAAAGGAUAGUCAGUUUGUUUUCCUGACCCCUGUGAUCUGAAGCGAAUAAACUGAACCAUGCUACUGUAUUACACAAUAACCCAAAGUUGUCUGGUAGAUAUGAGUAUCAUCAUAUAAUUUUGUUUCUAGAAUAUGUAAUAGGUAACCAGCAAUGUUGUUGUCAGUUUACAAGAAUGCUGGCGUUGUUUGAAUGCCUAUGUACUUACUGGAAUUAGUUUGGAUGCAUAUACAGUACCUUGAUGUUGAAUUUACAAGGUCCUGAUGGUGGAUUUGUUGUCUCAUAGAUUUUGUAAUUUACAGUUGCUCCACAAAUUUGGUGAUUGUUGUUUGUACAGUGAGCUGAUAUAGAAUGCUUGAUCGCACAAACUAAUCUGGGCCGCAUAUUUACAUUACUCUUAUGUUGAAUUUACAAUAUGGUGAUGGUGGAUUUACACUGUCCUAUAGAUUUUCUAUUUAUUGUAGUAGCUCCAUAUAGUGUGUCAUUGUUGUUCGUACAGUGAAUUCAUAUAGAAUGCUUGAUCACAUGAAUUUGUCUGAAUGUAUAUUACAGUGGUCUUUAAUUAAAAACAAUAAAACUGCACCUAAUCCCUGCCUCUCACGAUUUAAGCGUUCCUGGCCGUUUGAUUUAGUCUGGUGGCAAUCCUGAUCGUUCGAUCAUUCCUUGAUGCCAUGUUUACCUCGAAAUGGGCUACAGACCGUAAGGGCGUCUACUCCCGUGACUUUUUUGGAGCUUUGUGGUUGAUUGGGCCUCCAUGCUCAGCCCACGAUCGCUAACGGACACAGGGCUCUCGUCUCUAUAAUAAAAAA
rnacentral:lncRNA from 1 species